rfam:Picea glauca, whole genome shotgun sequence.
GCACCAGUGGUCUAGUGGUAGAAUAGUAAGACCCGGGUUCAAUUCCCAGCUGGUGCA